UACGUAGGGGGCUAGCGUUGUCCGGAUUUAUUGGGCGUAAAGAGCGUGUAGGCGGCCAGGUAGGUCUGGUGUGAAAACUCGAGGCUUAACCUCGAGAUGUCAUCGGAAACCAUCUGGCUAGAGUCCGGAAGAGGAGAGUGGAAUUCCUGGUGUAGCGGUGAAAUGCGCAGAUAUCAGGAGGAACACCGGUGGCGAAGGCGGGUCUCUGGGCAGUAACUGACGCUGAGGUGCGAAAGCGUGGGGAGCAAACAGG
rnacentral:rRNA from 1 species